rnacentral:rRNA from 1 species
AUACGGAGGAUCCGAGCGUUAUCCGGAUUUAUUGGGUUUAAAGGGUGCGCAGGCGGGAGAUUAAGUCGGCGGUGAAAUUUUGCAGCUCAACUGUAAAAAUGCCUUUGAAAAUGGUUUUCUUGAGUGUAGAUGUAGUAGGCGGAAUUUGUGGUGUAGCGGUGAAAAGCAUAGAUAUCACGAGGAACUCCGAUUGCGCAGGCAUCAUACUAAACUACUACGGACGCUCAGGCACUAAGGCGUGGGGAUUAAACAGGAUUAGAUACCCUGGUAGUCCACGCCGUGAACGAUGAUUACUAGCUGUUUGCAAUACAAUGUAAGCGGCUGAGCGAAAACGUUAAGUAAUCCACCUGGGGAGUACGGUCGCAAGGCUGAAACUCGAAUGAAUUGACAAGA